UCCUCGGCAUCAGAUGGAACUCCUCUAAACAUCAUCAGUAUCAAACCCUCCACUAUGUGGUUUGGAGAGAGAACCCAGAGGACUAAGGUUAUCAUCAGGACAGGUGCCAGUUCCUACAGAGCCUGCUUUUCCUUCCACUCAUCCUACUCUGAG